UGGGGAAUAUUGCACAAUGGGCGCAAGCCUGAUGCAGCCAUGCCGCGUGAGUGAAGAAGGUUUUCGGAUCGUAAAACUCUGUUGUUAGAGAAGAACAAGGACGUUAGUAACUGAACGUCCCCUGACGGUAUCUAACCAGAAAGCCACGGCUAACUACGUGCCAGCAGCCGCGGUAAUACGUAGGUGGCAAGCGUUGUCCGGAGUUAUUGGGCGUAAAGCGAGCGCAGGCGGUUUCUUAAGUCUGAUGUGAAAGCCCCCGGCUCAACCGGGGAGGGUCAUUGGAAACUGGGAGACUUGAGUGCAGAAGAGGAGAGUGGAAUUCCAUGUGUAGCGGUGAAAUGCGUAGAUAUAUGGAGGAACACCAGUGGCGAAGGCGGCUCUCUGGUCUGUAACUGACGCUGAGGCUCGAAAGCGUGGGGAGCAAACAGG
rnacentral:rRNA from 1 species